rnacentral:rRNA from 1 species
UUUAUGGAGAGUUUGAUCCUGGCUCAGGAUGAACGCUGGCGGCGUGCCUAAUACAUGCAAGUCGAGCGAACGGACGAGAAGCUUGCUUCUCUGAUGUUAGCGGCGGACGGGUGAGUAACACGUGGAUAACCUACCUAUAAGACUGGGAUAACUUCGGGAAACCGGAGCUAAUACCGGAUAAUAUUUUGAACCGCAUGGUUCAAAAGUGAAAGACGGUCUUGCUGUCACUUAUAGAUGGAUCCGCGCUGCAUUAGCUAGUUGGUAAGGUAACGGCUUACCAAGGCAACGAUGCAUAGCCGACCUGAGAGGGUGAUCGGCCACACUGGAACUGAGACACGGUCCAGACUCCUACGGGAGGCAGCAGUAGGGAAUCUUCCGCAAUGGGCGAAAGCCUGACGGAGCAACGCCGCGUGAGUGAUGAAGGUCUUCGGAUCGUAAAACUCUGUUAUUAGGGAAGAACAUAUGUGUAAGUAACUGUGCACAUCUUGACGGUACCUAAUCAGAAAGCCACGGCUAACUACGUGCCAGCAGCCGCGGUAAUACGUAGGUGGCAAGCGUUAUCCGGAAUUAUUGGGCGUAAAGCGCGCGUAGGCGGUUUUUUAAGUCUGAUGUGAAAGCCCACGGCUCAACCGUGGAGGGUCAUUGGAAACUGGAAAACUUGAGUGCAGAAGAGGAAAGUGGAAUUCCAUGUGUAGCGGUGAAAUGCGCAGAGAUAUGGAGGAACACCAGUGGCGAAGGCGACUUUCUGGUCUGUAACUGACGCUGAUGUGCGAAAGCGUGGGGAUCAAACAGGAUUAGAUACCCUGGUAGUCCACGCCGUAAACGAUGAGUGCUAAGUGUUAGGGGGUUUCCGCCCCUUAGUGCUGCAGCUAACGCAUUAAGCACUCCGCCUGGGGAGUACGACCGCAAGGUUGAAACUCAAAGGAAUUGACGGGGACCCGCACAAGCGGUGGAGCAUGUGGUUUAAUUCGAAGCAACGCGAAGAACCUUACCAAAUCUUGACAUCCUUUGACAACUCUAGAGAUAGAGCCUUCCCCUUCGGGGGACAAAGUGACAGGUGGUGCAUGGUUGUCGUCAGCUCGUGUCGUGAGAUGUUGGGUUAAGUCCCGCAACGAGCGCAACCCUUAAGCUUAGUUGCCAUCAUUAAGUUGGGCACUCUAAGUUGACUGCCGGUGACAAACCGGAGGAAGGUGGGGAUGACGUCAAAUCAUCAUGCCCCUUAUGAUUUGGGCUACACACGUGCUACAAUGGACAAUACAAAGGGCAGCGAAACCGCGAGGUCAAGCAAAUCCCAUAAAGUUGUUCUCAGUUCGGAUUGUAGUCUGCAACUCGACUACAUGAAGCUGGAAUCGCUAGUAAUCGUAGAUCAGCAUGCUACGGUGAAUACGUUCCUGGGUCUUGUACACACCGCCCGUCACACCACGAGAGUUUGUAACACCCGAAGCCGGUGGAGUAACCUUUUAGGAGCUAGCCGUCGAAGGUGGGACAAAUGAUUGGGGUGAAGUCGUAACAAGGUAGCCGUAUCGGAAGGUGCGGCUGGAUCACCUCCUUUCU